CCCGAAAGUUGACUUGGAAGAAAAGC
rnacentral:piRNA from 1 species